CAAAGAUUUCAGACUCAACGUGACAAUGUGAGCAUUUAUGGCUUCCAGAGAUUGUCCCUGAUUUCCUUUAAGAAGGCAGUAUUAAAGUUAAUUGCCUGGUUUGGAACAUGCAAAGACUGAAAUGUGCUAGAACGAUCAAAGUUCAGAGUUUGCUCAUCAAUGAAAUGAACACUGAAGGCCUCAAGAAGUGAGAUGUGGACUAGAGAAAGAAGAAAAUGAAAAGGAGGAACGGAAGGAUACUUCAGUAGACAACAUAUUGAAAAAUGAAAAGCUGGCUGCAUGUGGAAUUUUCAAAACCAUAAGGAUUAUGUGUCUAGGAAGAGUUUUAUAGAACAUUUAAUAUAUGGUGUCCUUGGGAAUUA